rnacentral:rRNA from 1 species
GGACCCGCACAAGCGGUGGAGUAUGUGGUUUAAUUCGAUGCAACACGAAGAACCUUACCAGGGUUUGAAAUCAUUUCAAAACUCCUUGAAAGAGGAGCCUCCUUCGGGAUGAAAUGACAGGUGGUGCAUGGCUGUCGUCAGCUCGUGUUGUGAAAUGUCGAGUUAAGUCUCGUAACGAGCGCAACCCUCGUCCUAUGUUGCCAGCACGUAAUGGUGGGAACUCAUGGGAUACUGCCGGGGUCAACUCGGAGGAAGGUGGGGAUGACGUCAAAUCAUCAUGCCCCUUAUGUCUUGGGCUUCACGCAUGCUACAAUGGCCGGUACAGAGGGCUGCAAUACCGCAAGGUGGAGCGAAUCCCAAAAAGCCGGUCUCAGUUCGGAUUGAGGUCUGCAACUCGACCUCAUG